GUGGGGAAUAUUGGACAAUGGGCGAAAGCCUGAUCCAGCCAUGCCGCGUGUGUGAAGAAGGUCUUCGGAUUGUAAAGCACUUUAAGUUGGGAGGAAGGGCAGUAAGUUAAUACCUUGCUGUUUUGACGUUACCGACAGAAUAAGCACCGGCUAACUUCGUGCCAGCAGCCGCGGUAAUACGAAGGGUGCAAGCGUUAAUCGGAAUUACUGGGCGUAAAACGCGCGUAGGUGGUUUUGUAAGUUGGAGGUGAAAUCCCCGGGCUCAACCUGGGAACUGCCUCCAAAACUGCAUGACUAGAGUACGGUAGAGGGUAGUGGAAUGUCCUGUGUAGCGGUGAAAUGCGUAGAUAUAGGAAGGAACACCAGUGGCGAAGGCGACUACCUGGACUGAUACUGACACUGAGGUGCGAAAGCGUGGGGAGCAAACAGGAUUAGAAACCCUGGUAGUCC
rnacentral:rRNA from 1 species